rnacentral:rRNA from 1 species
GACGAACGCUGGCGGCGUGCUUAACACAUGCAAGUCGAACGAAGAGCGAUGGAAGCUUGCUUCUAUCAAUCUUAGUGGCGAACGGGUGAGUAACGCGUAAUCAACCUGCCCUUCAGAGGGGGACAACAGUUGGAAACGACUGCUAAUACCGCAUACGAUCUAAUCUCGGCAUCGAGGAUAGAUGAAAGGUGGCCUCUACAUGUAAGCUAUCACUGAAGGAGGGGAUUGCGUCUGAUUAGCUAGUUGGAGGGGUAACGGCCCACCAAGGCGAUGAUCAGUAGCCGGUCUGAGAGGAUGAACGGCCACAUUGGGACUGAGACACGGCCCAGACUCCUACGGGAGGCAGCAGUGGGGGAUCUUCCGCAGUGGACGAAAGUCUGACGGAGCAACGCCGCGUGAGUGAUGACGGCCUUCGGGUUGUAAAGCUCUGUUAAUCGGGACGAAAGNCCUUCUUGCGAAUAGUGAGAAGGAUGACG